AGCUCCAAUAGCGUAUAUUAAAGUUGUUGCGGUUAAAAAGCUCGUAGUUGGAUUUCUGCUGAGGACGACCGGUCCGCCCUCUGGGUGAGCAUUGGGUUCGGCCUCGGCAUCUUCUUGGGGAACGUUGCUGCACUUGACUGUGUGGAGCGGUAUCCAGGACUUUUACUUUGAGGAAAUUAGAGUGUUUCAAGCAGGCUUAUGCCUUGAAUACAUUAGCAUGGAAUAAUAAGAUAGGACCUCG
rnacentral:rRNA from 1 species